UAACCAUAUAAAUGUUUCACUUAUAUUAUGCAUAGAUAUAUAAGUACUAUUUUAAUAAAUUUCAAUGAUUGGUUAAUUUUAGUUACCAUCAUGGUCAAGGUAAGUUAUAUAUUUUGUAUAUUUCAUUAGCAAUUAACAUUAAAUACCAAUACAGUUUUUAGUUUUAACCAUAGUUCGUAAGAUAAUAAUAUAAAAUAAAUACUCAUGAUUAAGAACAAUUAUUCCUAUAACCUGCGCAACACAUCAUGGUGAUUUUUUAAUAAUAAAUUAUAAUCUUUCUGCCCAUUCCUUAUUCAAACAAGAUCUACAUAACAAACAAGGUUUAGGUAAUAUCCGUGUUCCUCUGGUCGAUCAUCCAGACCCAUAGCUAUUGCGUGACAUCCAAUCGUAUACAGUCAGCUGUAUGAAAUCAAACGAACCGCAUUGCUGUACGAUAUGAGUAUGUGACUACACAUUUUUAAUGUACUUAUAUGAGAAGUUUUUCUUUUUUGACUAUAUCAAACGAUUGAUAAUUUAAAUAACAUUAUAGUGGUCAGGUUGGAUGUCUGGUUCCAUUCAGUGUGUCACUGUGUCUAAUGAUGAACUGGUUUUUUUUUACCAUGCGGUCAAUGACCUCGAACACUUGAGGCGACAGCACCUUUUCCUUGCUGGAAUAUAGUCAAUUUGAAGCGAACUCUACUACUUCUGACUACUGUACAGACAAAAACUGCCUAAGUAUAUAAAAAUGAAUUCCAAUCAAUAUUUGUGGUUUGAUAUCAUAGGAAGAUUUUCGCGUAUCCCAUAAAAUCCACGCGAAAUUAAGUGUACGAAGUUGAUUUUAUUUUAUUACAUUAUUCAGAAAUCAUAAAGCAGCUAAAUGUGUAAACGAUGAUUUACGUAACAUUUUACAUUUUAUAUCACCUUGAAAAGUGUACCAAAAAUAAAUGAAUGGGUAGAGUAUUGACCAGUUGUACCAAAACAUUGAGUUGUAUAAAAAAAAUGUGGUUUCCCUUGAUUUUUACGUACGUACCUAAUACAAACAUCAAAGUCAGCGGUGGAAAACAAGUACCUAUACCGUCAAUGUCCUGAAAUAACCUAGGUGAAAUUGGCACGUGCUUAUAAUUAACUUAAAAUUUUAUAGGUAGGUAAGAAAAAUCACACAUUAUGAAUAUGCUUCAA